UGGGAUGGAAAUCUAUAUUGAUAGAUUUCAAGAUAUAAUUUGAUUAUAUCAAUCCCUAAUAAUAGACAAAAGAUGCUAGGAAGUUUCUCAUAUGAUGAUAAACUUCAAUUAGAAGGACGACUCUAGUGUGACUGGAAAGUUCCCCUUCUCAAAGGGAACGUACCCUUUGACUCCCAAAGAAAUAAUGCGUAAAUAAGAAUCCUUUAUGCAUACGCAUAAAGGUGAUUUAUGUAUUUCAUAUUGUAUGAAAAACAUUGAUAUGAGUUGUACCUAGAAUGGUACAAGACGAUAUCAGUGCAAGCCCAGGAUCAGAACCAUGGCAACUGUCAAGUGAGUCCUUAAGUAUUUAAAAAAUACUAAAGGAUAGAUUCCUCAAAGAAUGAGGAAGAAUUAGAGUAACGUAAUGGAAGCGUAAAUGUAUUAGAUUAUGAAUCUAAUCCAUCAUUGGAUGUUUCUUCAUUAUGAAUGAAGAGAUAAACGGAUAUCUCUUUAUUAUGACUAAAGAGAUAUUUGGAUGGAAACAUUAAAGUAAUGACUUUAGUGUGUUCCAUUAUGAAUGCAAAAUAUAUUGCCAUAAAGAAGUUUACAACAAUGUUGUUUGGAUGGGAAAGUUCAUUUAUGAACUCUCUAUUCGGUUCCAACCAGAAAGUGUAUGACACUAAUGGGGCGAUAGCUCAAGCCAGGGAAUCAAGGUCUCUCAUCAAGAUCCGAACUCAAAUGAGAGACUGAACCACAUGAUUGAGAAUCAUGUAU
rnacentral:lncRNA from 1 species